AUGCAUGACAGAUGUUACUUUUGUUGUCCAUUCCAUGGCACAUCAGUGUAUCCAGGUCAUGCUAGAGAAAGUAUACGUGGAGUUAUCAGGGCUGCCAGUUGUUCAGUACAGACUGAGUGGUAGUAUAAUACUCCUACACCA